rnacentral:sRNA from 1 species
CACUGUUUGCACAGUUGGCGCGCAUUGCAAAACUUGUCAAACGCAAAACGCAAUCGAUACGAAUAUCAAUCAAAUCCGCAUUUCUGUAAGAGUCUUUUGUCUUGCUUUUGGGUCCGAGUCGAGGGAAACUGCGACUGGAGCUAUUAAGGUAUUUGGGUCAGCAUUUGUCUGUGUGGUUUUCUGGUUUCUGUUUCUGUUCCAGCCUCCUUGCCGCACGGAGUUCAUCUCCGCAGAUGCUCACGAUGGCCCACAUAAUUAAUUAUGACAGUUUAUUUAUUUAAUUAUUUUGGUGGACUUCAAAGGCCAUCAUCCGACGCCGGGGAGCCAAAGGCUGCUAAUUAUGUUGUGACUCAACGGAGGAUUAGGUGUAUUAAGAAACAAAGAGCUGUAGUGUGAUUUUCUCACCACAGAAACCUUUAAGUUUGCUUUACAGAAGCUUUUCGCCAUCAAAACAGUCUAUAAAUUAAAUAAAAUUGAUUGAAUGCCACUUCAAUACAAUGUAUAUACAAA